GAGCCAGACCCAGGGACUGCUUUGAUCUUCGCGCCAGUGAGAGGACUUGCUGGUUUAUCAAGAGACAAUAGCUGAACUCACUGCCAGAGUGGUAGGAGUAUUGAAGAAAUUAUAAGUGUAACGAGAAAUACAGCCUCAAAUUCCCAACUACAUUUUCCGACUGCCGUUUGAAAAGCUUCAGUGCCUUAAAUACAACACAAGGGUCUGAAACUCAAGCAACUGUGGGGGUUGUGUUCCAUGGGACUACUGCCAUUGCAGAUCUCCCACAGAAUGAUGUUGUUGCUCAAACCUUAGUAGAAGCUCUGAGUAAUUCCACCAAACCUGAGCAUUCAUCCUGCUUCAGUCAAAGUAUUAGCAAGUCCAGUACCAGAUAAGAUCACAACUGCACCGACAACACCUGUUGCAACAAACACAGCAGCCUCUGCACCUACAUAUUUUCUCUCAGCAAAAUUGACAGAACCAGCUUUUUCAUCUGCCCUCACUGACUCCAACAGCAAUGAAUACAAAGCACUUGAAGGAGAAGUUCUAAAUGCGUGUGAUAAAACAUACAGAACAAAAUAUCCCAAAACAUUUUCCCACUGCGUUUUGGAAGGAUUCAGUGCCGUAAAUCCACGACUUUCCGAAACUCAAGUGAAGAUGGCAGUUGUGUUCCAUGGGAAUACUUCUCAAGCAGAACUCCCAAUGAAUUCUGUUGUUGUUAAAGACUUCGUACAAGCUGUAAACAAUCCCAACAAUGGCUUCAAUCUGAGCAUAAAUUCCGCCUCAGUCACAAUAUUAGGUAAGUAUCCACAACAUAAUAUUUUGCUUGAUCAGUUUGUUAAUACAAUUAUGUUAAAAAAAAGAAAAUAGAGACGAUAAACCGAAGAUAUUUUUAAUGAAUUGCAUUAUUUAUUUAUUUUUAACCUAGUUUAUAACCAGAAAGUCUACAAAACCAACUUUUUGAAAGCUUUUAAUUAUUUUUUCAAUUGGUUUGUUCAUCAAACAAGCAAAAGGCAAUGGAUAGUAUGGGAACCAAUACUUUUACCAAAUAAAUAUGAUCUAUAUAUUUGUUUUUAUAGCAAGUCCUGCUGCACAUAACACUGUUGCAGCUGCAACUACUACUGCAGAACUCAUUAUAAAAAGGGUGGUAUUCAGGUCUCUUCUAAAGAACUUUACAAGUGACUUGCUGAAUCCAUCAUCUACAGCUUAUAAAAAUCGAGCUGCAACGAUUAAAUAAGAGGUACGUCUCAUUCUUACAAAUAAAUCUCCUGGUUCACCUACUGUAUAUGUAUAUGCGGAGCUCAAGCACACAUUCAAAGAACACUUACAUCUUACAUGUAUUAUGUGUUUCCUCUGUAAACAACCUGUUUCUGCAGCUUACACCUGUUUUCCAGAGUGCAUGCCCGUCUUCCUUUAAGUCCUUGGAAGUGGUGUCAUUCAGUGAUGGAUCGAUCGUCAACACCAUGGAUGUUUACUUUUCGAGCACACCUGCUGAUUCAGAUGAUUUUCUGAUUGCAAGCGUUUUAAUGCGCGCAGCUGCAAGCAUCACCGGCUUUGACAUUGAGGGGAGCUCCAUCUCCGUGAAUGGCCUAACUUCAAGUGGAGUAAGCCAUAACAUCAGUCUCAUGACCGCAUCCUGCCUAGCGAUGUUGUCAUGGCUACUGUCAAGCCAACAAUGGCAGUAGUGCUGAUUUCCAUCAUUGAAAAGCGACUGGUGUAUUAAUUAUUGUACAGCUUGAAUACAAAGCAUAACAGUAUAACUUGGGAUGUACAGUAGAUGUAAAUUAUGUUCACUAAGCACUUUCCUUUAGAACUAUCUUUCUUAGUGAAGGUUUUUAAUAAUGUAUUUUUUAAUUAUAAAUGAAAACUGUGGGCUGCACAUCCUAACAUUGAACUAAUGCAUACCGUUUUAUCAUGAAAUGUUCUUAUUUAUAAAAACUAUUUAUUUAUACAACCUUGCACAGCUGUAUUUUGUUAGAU